rnacentral:rRNA from 1 species
GACAGAGGGUGCAAACGUUGCUCGGAAUUACUGGGCGUAAAGCGCGUGUAGGUGGAUUGGUGUGUCAGAUGUGAAAUCCCCGGGCUUAACCUGGGAACUGCAUUUGUGACUGCAUCGCUGGAGUGCGGCAGAGGGGGAUGGAAUUCCGCGUGUAGCGGUGAAAUGCGUAGAGAUCGGGAGGAACACCAGAGGCGAAGGCGGCGACCUGGACAGGCACUGACACUCAACUACGAAAGCGUGGGGAGCAAACAGG